rnacentral:misc_RNA from 1 species
AAGAAUUAAUUCUUUAUAUAAUUUUCUUGAUGAAAUUUGAUAAGUUGUCCAUGUUCGUCUAAUUAAAUUUCCAUAUACCUCAAGGCAGAAUCACAUUGCAAUUUGGAUCAACCAACAAAAUCAUCAUGUUAUUUCAUGCCUUAAUUCUGGCAGGUUCUCCCACUGCCUGUUCCAUCCGAGAGUACCAUUCACCAAUGUGUGUAUGCUCCACCAUAUCUUUACCAGACUU